GCAAUAAUCAAGGCGCGCGAGCGCCGCGAUUUAUCCACAAAACCUCCGUGUACCUUUACCUUUGUUGCUUCCCGUCGCCCGUAAAACGGCGGCGGGGAGGUCAAACCAAACUCCUUUUUUCUCAUGCAGUCAGUCAAAGGCCUCCGGGCCGAAGAAAACAAAACAAGUUA
rnacentral:misc_RNA from 1 species